AGAUGUGAGGGCGAUCCAGCUGAGGCAUCUGUUGCCUUCAUUGAUUGCCAGGGUUGAUUUGGCUGAUCUGGCUGGCGAGGCAGGUGUCCCCUUCCCCUUUCACUACUCCACGUGCAUCCCUCCCAAGGCUGCACACUUGGAGGAAGAGGACAACCUUCCCCAAACAGAGGAGGAUAGGUCUUCCAUNAAGGGUAUAUGAAUAGCUGNACUCUCCUGCUAGAACCUCCAAACAAGCUCUCAAGAAUCAACGUGGACAAUGAAAAGAUAAGCUAAAUUUAAAAAAUUAGGGGUACAUUUUUAAAAGUUGAAAACAAAUGAUGCAA
rnacentral:snRNA from 1 species